UGGGGAAUAUUGCACAAUGGGCGCAAGCCUGAUGCAGCCAUGCCGCGUGUAUGAAGAAGGCCUUCGGGUUGUAAAGUACUUUCAGCGGGGAGGAAGGCGAUAAGGUUAAUAACCUUGUCGAUUGACGUUACCCGCAGAAGAAGCACCGGCUAACUCCGUGCCAGCAGCCGCGGUAAUACGGAGGGUGCAAGCGUUAAUCGGAAUUACUGGGCGUAAAGCGCACGCAGGCGGUCGGGCAAGUCGGAUGUGAAAUCCCCGGGCUCAACCUGGGAACUGCAUUCGAAACUGGCAGGCUAGAGUCUUGUAGAGGGGGGUAGAAUUCCAGGUGUAGCGGUGAAAUGCGUAGAGAUCUGGAGGAAUACCGGUGGCGAAGGCGGCCCCCUGGACAAAGACUGACGCUCAGGUGCGAAAGCGUGGGGAGCAAACA
rnacentral:rRNA from 1 species